rnacentral:rRNA from 1 species
AUUGAACGCUGGCGGCAGGCCUAACACAUGCAAGUCGAGCGAGCGGCGGACGGGUGAGUAAUGUCUGGGACACUGCCUGAUGGAGGGGGAUAACUACUGGAAACGGUAGCUAAUACCGCAUACCCUCAGAUGUGCCCAGAUGGGAUUAGCUAGUAGGUGGGGUAAUGGCUCACCGAGGCGACGAUCCCUAGCUGGUCUGAGCGGAUGACCAGCCACACUGGAACUGAGACACGGUCCAGACUCCUACGGGAGGCAGCAGUGGGGAAUAGUGCACAAUGGGCGAAAGCCUGAUGCAGCCAUGCCGCGUGUGUGAAGAAGGCCUUCGGGUUGUAAAGCACUUUCAGCGGGGAGGCGUUACCCGCAGAAGAAGCACCGGCUAACUCCGUGCCAGCAGCCGCGGUAAUAC